AAGUCGUAACAAGGUUUCCGUAGGUGAACCUGCGGAAGGAUCAUUAUUGAAAUAAACCCGAUGGGUUGUUGCUGGUUCUCUAGGGAGCAUGUGCACGCCUUGUCGUCUUUAUAUCUCCACCUGUGCACCUUUUGUAGACCUUUCAGGUCUAUGUUGCUUCUUCAUUUACCCCAAUGUAUGUUAAUAGAAUGUUGUGCCUAUAAAAACUAUACAACUUUCAGCAACGGAUCUCUUGGCUCUCGCAUCGAUGAAGAACGCAGCGAAAUGCGAUAAGUAAUGUGAAUUGCAGAAUUCAGUGAAUCAUCGAAUCUUUGAACGCACCUUGCGCUCCUUGGUAUUCCGAGGAGCAUGCCUGUUUGAGUGUCAUUAAUAUAUAUCAACCUCUCUUGUUGAGUUGGUUUGGAUGUGGGGUUUGCUGGCCUCUUUUUAAAGAGGUUCAGCUUCCCUGAAAUACAUUAGCAGAACAAACCUGUUCAUUGGUGUGAUAACUAUCUACGCUAUUGAAUGUGAGGGGCAGUUCAGCUUUCUAGCAGUCUUUUGGACAAAUCUAUCACUUAUGUGACCUCAAAUCAGGUAGGACUACCCGCUGAACUUAA
rnacentral:rRNA from 1 species